UACGUAGGUGGCAAGCGUUAUCCGGAAUUAUUGGGCGUAAAGCGCGCGCUGGCGGUUUCUUAAGUCUGAUGUGAAAGCCCACGGCUCAACCGUGGAGGGUCAUUGGAAACUGGGGAACUUGAGUGCAGAAGAGAAAAGCGGAAUUCCACGUGUAGCGGUGAAAUGCGUAGAGAUGUGGAGGAACACCAGUGGCGAAGGCGGCUUUUUGGUCUGUAACUGACGCUGAGGCGCGAAAGCGUGGGGAGCAAACAGG
rnacentral:rRNA from 1 species